rnacentral:hammerhead_ribozyme from 1 species
GUACUGAUGAAGAGUCCCCAAAUGGGACGAAACAGUUGUCCAGUAC